GGUUGUGGCUCAGUGGUACAGUGCUUGCCUACCAUGCAUGGGGCUCUGGGUUCAAUCCUCAACAUCA
rnacentral:tRNA from 1 species